ACAUGCCUACAACAUAGCGUUAAUGCAUCGGAUCCCAUUAGAACUCUGCAGUUAAGCGCGCUCAGGCUAGAGCAGUUUUGGGAUGGGUGACCGCUCGAGAAGCCCUAGUGUUUUACAUGCC
rfam:Picea glauca, whole genome shotgun sequence.